GUGCUCACUUCAGCAGCACAUAUACUAAAAUUGGAACGAUACAGAGAUUAGCAUGGCCCCUGCACAAGGAUGACAUGCAAAUUUGUGAAGUGCUCCAUAUUCAA
ensembl:snRNA U6 U6 spliceosomal RNA